AAGUUCUCACUGAAAGAUCUGUGCUUCUGGCAAAGGAGAGCCAUUGGAAGUCUUAAAGUCGGGGCUUGGCAUGUUCACACUGUUCUUUAAAAAGCUACUCAUGAUAGGGAGGGUGGUUUCUGAAAGCUGGGAGGCUUUAGAAAGCUGAUGCUAUUUUGGGUAGCAGUGGCUCUGCCCUGAUGCAGAGAGGAAAGGAGAGACAAGGGAAGAGACACCAAGGAAACAGGCAAUCCCAUGAUGAAAAUCUCCAAAGGAGGAGAUGACUUUUAAGUACCUGGAAGAGGAAUUUGCCAUCAUCUGAGAUCCAGCCAUGGGCUCUGUGCAUUUAGCCACAUUGCAAGGUGACUUCCACUGUGAGGACUGCCACAGGAGUGCCCCAGGCCAUCCCUAGACCCCAGCCAUGAGGCCAAGCU
rnacentral:lncRNA from 1 species